rnacentral:SRP_RNA from 1 species
GCCAGGCGUGGUGGCGCAUGCCUGUAAUCCCAGCUACUUGGGAGGCUGAGGCAGGAGAAUCGCUUGAACCCAGGAGGCUGAAGUUGCGGUUGAGCCGAGACUGCACCAUUGCACUCCAGCCUGGGUAACAGAGCAAGACCCUGUCUCAA